rnacentral:lncRNA from 1 species
GCUAUCUCGACCUUGACUUCGCAUGUGCAUCCGCCGAAGUCUUUCUAGAUCAAUCGGCCCCAUCUCUCGUCUUCCCGAUUCGGCCAUGACCUCACCCGUAUCCUCGACGUAGGACCUCGGACUUCAUUUCCGCCACCCCGACACUUCCGGAAUCCCCGGAAGCGACCCGUUGCCAUGGCGACUAUGUACACAGCCAGGCAGCCCCGCGUGGGGAGUGCAGGUGGUUUCGGUUGCGGCAGUCGCGUCCCGGGAGCGUCGCUGCCUGGUGAACGCUAGAAUGGGUACUAGGAAAAAAGUUCAUGCAUUUGUCCGUGUCAAACCCACCGAUGACUUUGCUCAUGAAAUGAUCAGAUACGGAGAUGACAAAAGAGUAAGUGCGAUGUGUUUGCCUUCAACUGACUGGGCCUCUCUGUCCCACCUUGCUAUAGUGUGACCGUAUUUCCAAGCAACCUUUGAAGGACCAAGACAGAAUUGGACAGGAUCCAAUGGACUCUAGAGCCCAUCAAAUCCAAACCACCCCCUCACACACUGCUAAUGAAGAAAUUAAUAAAAUCCCAU